AACCGUUCUGCCUCAUCUCUUCUUUGAGGAACGUCUGCCGUCUCUCUCUUUUAACUGAGCUGAAUGAGAUGGGAUUUUCCUGAGAUGAGGCAGCCAAGGAAGCGAAAGAGGAGAGAAGUAUAGAGAGAUUGCAUCGAGGCAAAAACACAUGUCCCAAAAGGGAUGAAGAGCCACGACGCGGACAGCUUGUAACGUAGGAGGCGUGAGUCAGAGUCCUUGCCAUGAACACUCCGAAUUCAGUGGAUCGGCCUCGCCCCUCCACUGGAGGCUGCAUCGGUGCCUCUCA